UAGGGAAUCUUCGGCAAUGGACGAAAGUCUGACCGAGCAACGCCGCGUGAGUGAGGAAGGUCUUCGGAUCGUAAAGCUCUGUUGCCAGGGAAGAACGGCCGGUGGAGUCACUGCCAUCGGAGUGACGGUACCUGAGAAGAAAGCCCCGGCUAACUACGUGCCAGCAGCCGCGGUAAUACGUAGGGGGCAAGCGUUGUCCGGAAUUAUUGGGCGUAAAGCGCGCGCAGGCGGCCUUUUAAGUCUGGUGUUUAAACCUGAGGCUCAACCUCGGGUCGCAUUGGAAACUGGGAGGCUUGAGUGCAGAAGAGGAGAGUGGAAUUCCACGUGUAGCGGUGAAAUGCGUAGAGAUGUGGAGGAACACCAGUGGCGAAGGCGACUCUCUGGGCUGUAACUGACGCUGAGGCGCGAAAGCGUGGGGAGCAAACA
rnacentral:rRNA from 1 species